rnacentral:lncRNA from 1 species
AAGAAAAGCUAUAUACAUCCACAGAUAUUAAAAAAAAGGGGCAAUUGCCUAUAUACCCUUGAAAAGUUUCCGGUUUUUUUAUUUAUCCCUCUUAGAAGGCUAAUAUUGAAAAUACCCUUCUUAUGUUCCAAGUCUUUCUAAUAUACCCCUGGAGUUAAGUUCCGUCAGUUAGCUGCUGUUAUCUCUGAAAAAUUACCAUUUUGCCCAUUCCAAUAUACCCUCGUACCGUAACUCACUUAUCUUAUAUACCCUUCAUAUACAAAAUAUUUUUCUUAUUUGCUCUUUAAAUAUCAAUUAAUUAAUUAAGCACGUUGGGAGCGAGCAAAUGAACGGAUGAGAUUGAUCGCAGCUAAACCAAUCUUAGUGGCGCGAGCAAAUGAACGGAUGAGAUCGAUCGCAGCUAAACCAAUCUUAGUGGCUGGAGGCAUAGUUAGUUAAUUCGGAUUCGGCAAAAAUUCAGUACAGAUAUAAUUCGAAUAAAAUUCGUCUUUUAAUUUUUAAAUUCGUUGAAAAAUACGGCUAAAAAAUAGAUUCGACAGUUAUUCGAAUACGUAAUAUAUACGGGUAUUAUACGUUCACCAAUUAAAGAUUCCAGAUCAAAAAUUCGGCUAUAUAAUAAAUAUAUAAUAAUUAAUAUACUAUAUAUAUUAUUAUUAUAAUUUUUAUAUAUAUAUUAAAUAUAUAUAUUUAAAAUUAUAAUAAAUAUAUAUUAAUAAUAUAUAAGAGUUAUAUAUUUAAAAAUAUUAAUAAACUUAGAUUUGUGCAGAUCAAAGGACUAAUUUAUUCCAAUUAAUCUCAGAUAUUAACUAUUCCACCCUAAUUAACUCUCCCAAUUAACUCUUCCACCCUAAUUAACUCUUCCAAUUAACUCUUCCACCAUAAUUAACUCUCUCAAUUAACUCUCCCAAUUAACUCUCCCAAUUGACCCUCGUACAGCACCCCUCCUCGUCCCCUUCCUCCGGCACCGACAGCACCCACCUCGACCACCGUCGCCACUCCAAACCUCGAGGGUGGCGACCCAUGAGGCAAUA